rnacentral:rRNA from 1 species
UGGGGAAUAUUGCACAAUGGGCGCAAGCCUGAUGCAGCCAUGCCGCGUGUGUGAAGAAGGCCUUCGGGUUGUAAAGCACUUUCAGCGGGGAGGAAGGCGAUAAGGUUAAUAACCUUGUCGAUUGACGUUACCCGCAGAAGAAGCACCGGCUAACUCCGUGCCAGCAGCCGCGGUAAUACGGAGGGUGCAAGCGUUAAUCGGAAUUACUGGGCGUAAAGCGCACGCAGGCGGUCUGUCAAGUCGGAUGUGAAAUCCCCGGGCUCAACCUGGGAACUGCAUUCGAAACUGGCAGGCUAGAGUCUUGUAGAGGGGGGUAGAAUUCCAGGUGUAGCGGUGAAAUGCGUAGAGAUCUGGAGGAAUACCGGUGGCGAAGGCGGCCCCCUGGAUAAAGACUGACGCUCAGGUGCGAAAGCGUGGGGAGCAAACAGG